rnacentral:rRNA from 1 species
GUAGGGUGCAAGCGUUAUCCGGAAUCAUUGGGCGUAAAAAGCUCGUAGGCGGUUCAGCAAGUCGGCUGUGAAAUCCCGAGGCUUAACCUCGGAACUGCAGUCGAUACUGCUGUGACUAGAGUCCGGUAGAGGAGAAUGGAAUUCCCGGUGUAGCGGUGAAAUGCGCAGAUAUCGGGAGGAACACCAGUAGCGAAGGCGGUUCUCUGGGCCGGUACUGACGCUGAGGAGCGAAAGCGUGGGUAGCAAACAGGAUUAGAUACCCUGGUAGUCCACGCCGUAAACGUUGGACACUAGGUGUGGCGUUCCGACCAACGGGUGCCCGUGCCGAAGCUAACGCAUUAAGUGUCCCCGCCUGGGGAGUACGGCCGCAAGGCUA